rnacentral:tRNA from 1 species
GCCCCGGUAGCUCAGCCUGGCAAGAGCGCCGCCCUAGCGAGGCGGAGAACCCGGGUUCGAAUCCCGGCCGGGGCUCCA